rnacentral:rRNA from 1 species
UAAUACGUAGGGUGCGAGCGUUAAUCGGAAUUACUGGGCGUAAAGCGUGCGCAGGCGGCUAUGCAAGACAGAUGUGAAAUCCCCGGGCUCAACCUGGGAACUGCAUUUGUGACUGCAUGGCUAGAGUGCGUCAGAGGGAGGUGGAAUUCCGCGUGUAGCAGUGAAAUGCGUAGAGAUGCGGAGGAACACCGAUGGCGAAGGCAGCCUCCUGGGAUGACACUGACGCUCAUGCACGAAAGCGUGGGGAGCAAACAGG